AAGCAAAUGAUGAGUUACUCGGAUUCCCCUUCUUAGACAUCAUGGGUGAUGCAAAAACCGAGUUUCUGAUACA